AGUUUCUGAAUGCCGGGGGAUUUGUGUCUCGUGACUGUCUGUUGCUAGGGAAACCGCACCAGUAAGACACACAGGCAAGGUGCGCUGCUGUUAGUUUGUCAGUGCGGUACGGUGUGCUGCUAUUUUGCGGUUUGGGCAGUAAAAAGCGAGAUUAUGCCAGAUGUCUUCACUGGUCACUGUGCGUUAUGGUCCAUACGAAUCGUGUGGAGUUGUUAAUCACAAGACUUUCCGCCUAGAAGGCCUGCAAGCGGUUCUGAGAGACUGCGGCUACGUGUGUGUUCUUGAGGAAGCGCCUGACUGGAACCAGGUGGAGAUGGUGGUUCAUGGAGAAAGCGUCUAUAAAUGCGACAUCAACAAACUGGAGUUUGAAAUAGUCAGUGAGUUUCUCAGCUCCUGAGGUGAUGCACUGACUCGGCUGGAUACUGCACCACGGGGAAGACAAAAGAACUGCCAAUGGACCCGCCUAAUAAGGAGGUGAUGGGAGGCUUGAUCCACUGUGCCAAGAGGCCAUAGAAGCAGUGAGGAAUGCAUACCAACAACACCAAAUAUGAUAUAUAUAUAUCCUGUAAUACUGAUUAAAAAGAC